CUGGAGUCUACACACCACACUGCUGGAGUUGUGGUGGAGUGAGCUCAUUGUUUACAGUCAAGAAUGGCAGAGAAAGUACUGAGACACUUUUCAUUACCAGCUGUACCAACAGCAGCUUGUACUGCCAAACAGAGCAAGAAAAGAAAGACUGAGCUGGAGAAGGCUACAAACAAAAAGAAGUUGGAUAGCUCAAGAAGUGAAAUAAGAGUCAACAUUGGAGUGACUGUUCAACUAUGGAGAAAACUGAUGGAGUCAAAGGCCUGAACACGGACACCAUGGUAGCUGUGUCUCUGUUGGACAGUUAUGAGAUGGACGCAUCAACCUCCAGCCUUCAAAGAGUCACUUCACGACAGAACCAUGCCCUGAUGUUUCCACUAUUUCUGCAGAGUCGCUCUCUGACAGGUGGCUGUAACUUGAUGCUGGUAGCAACAAGGGUCAGACCACUGUUAUUCAUGUAGGAUGUGUCUUUGAUGGAUACAUUUCAAUACAUGUGUCCUUCUUUCAUUUUAAGUUGGUUUGCUGUGUGUGCAAGAAUGUGCUUCUUAGCAGGGACACAAUACCAAAAGGAAUGGCAUCAUUUCGUAAGAUGCACAAGGAAAAAGCUUCCUGAGGGUCACAUGUUAGCCUAGCGCUUGAGACUAUUGCAUAUUAGUAAGACUUUUUUAAAGAAAAUAGUCUUCGCAUUUCAAUUCAUGAUCUGACUGUCAGCUGACCACAGUAGAAAGUGGGAAACCGUAUGCACCUAACAAUCCUAUAAAUAACGGCUUGCCACCCAUUACCGACUGGCUUUUUUUUCCUGUGUUGUCUUUGACAGAAUCAGUAACAUUUGUAUGCCACAUAAACACAUUCAGAUGUAAUUGUAUAUCCUGUAAACACAUUUAGUUCUCCAUCCUUAUCCAGUUUUCCUUUCCAUUUUUGCAGAGAUGAUGGAACUCCUUUCUCUUAGGCCAGGUACUCCAAGGUAUAUAACAAAAUGUGAAACUUUGUAAAUUACCCUGAAAAUGAAAUUUAAGAAUUGCUGAAUAUGAAAUGACUGUAAAUGGCACAAUUAUGAUGUAAC
rnacentral:lncRNA from 1 species